UCGAGGAUCUUCGGCAAUGGGCGCAAGCCUGACCGAGCGACGCCGCGUGUGCGAUGAAGGCCUUCGGGUUGUAAAGCACUGUCGAGGGGGAGGAAAGCCGCAAGGCCUGACCUAUCCCUGGAGGAAGCACGGGCUAAGUUCGUGCCAGCAGCCGCGGUAAGACGAACCGUGCGAACGUUGUUCGGAAUCACUGGGCUUAAAGGGCGCGUAGGCGGCUUGCCAAGUCGCGGGUGAAAUCUUUCGGCUUAACCGGAAAAGUGCCCGCGAUACUGGCCGGCUCGAGCGAGGUAGGGGCAGGGGGAACUUCCGGUGGAGCGGUGAAAUGCGUUGAUAUCGGAAGGAACGCCGGUGGCGAAAGCGCCCUGCUGGACCUCACCUGACGCUGAGGCGCGAAAGCCAGGGGAGCAAACGGGAUUAGAUACCCCCGUAGUCC
rnacentral:rRNA from 1 species